rnacentral:rRNA from 1 species
GAUGAACGCUGGCGGCGUGCCUAAUACAUGCAAGUCGAACGCACAGCGAAAGGUGCUUGCACCUUUCAAGUGAGUGGCGAACGGGUGAGUAACACGUGGACAACCUGCCUCAAGGCUGGGGAUAACAUUUGGAAACAGAUGCUAAUACCGAAUAAAACUUAGUGUCGCAUGACACAAAGUUAAAAGGCGCUUCGGCGUCACCUAGAGAUGGAUCCGCGGUGCAUUAGUUAGUUGGUGGGGUAAAGGCCUACCAAGACAAUGAUGCAUAGCCGAGUUGAGAGACUGAUCGGCCACAUUGGGACUGAGACACGGCCCAAACUCCUACGGGAGGCUGCAGUAGGGAAUCUUCCACAAUGGGCGAAAGCCUGAUGGAGCAACGCCGCGUGUGUGAUGAAGGCGUUCGGGUCGUAAAGCACUGUUGUAUGGGAAGAACAGCUAGAAUAGGAAAUGAUUUUAGUUUGACGGUACCAUACCAGAAAGGGACGGCUAAAUACGUG